CCUACGGGAGGCAGCAGUGGGGAAUUUUCCGCAAUGGGCGAAAGCCUGACGGAGCAACGCCGCGUGAGGGAUGAAGGCCUCUGGGCUGUAAACCUCUUUUAUCAAGGAAGAAGAUCUGACGGUACUUGAUGAAUAAGCCACGGCUAAUUCCGUGCCAGCAGCCGCGGUAAUACGGGAGUGGCAAGCGUUAUCCGGAAUUAUUGGGCGUAAAGCGUCCGCAGGCGGUCUUGUAAGUCUGUCGUUAAAGCGUGGAGCUCAACUCCAUUUCGGCGGUGGAAACUACAAGACUAGAGUGUGGUAGGGGCAGAGGGAAUUCCCGGUGUAGCGGUGAAAUGCGUAGAUAUCGGGAAGAACACCAGUGGCGAAGGCGCUCUGCUGGGCCAUAACUGACGCUCAUGGACGAAAGCUAGGGGAGCGAAAGGGAUUAGAUACCCCUGUAGUCCUAGCCGUAAACGAUGAACACUAGGUGUCGGGGGAAUCGACCCCCUCGGUGUCGUAGCUAACGCGUUAAGUGUUCCGCCUGGGGAGUACGCACGCAAGUGUGAAACUCAAAGAUAGUACGGCGUGAGACGUGCGAACGACGACACAGGGAGUAGG
rnacentral:rRNA from 1 species